AAAGUCCUGAUGUGUUCGUUGUUUUACCUAUUAGUUUUGACCGAACAUUUCUAUCUCGGGAGUCUGGCGUUUUCGAGCAGCGUUAAUGCCUCUGGCUAAGAGGACUAAUUAAACUCGAAACAAGACACCCACCUGCUUAGUGCGGGUUCAAAACGAUGGAAUCUCAGCAACGGCACGAUCGGGACUUUG
rnacentral:other from 1 species